UACGUAGGGUGCAAGCGUUAAUCGGAAUUACUGGGCGUAAAGCGUGCGUAGGCGGUUUUGUAAGUCUGUUGUGAAAUCCCCGGGCUCAACCUGGGAAUUGCGAUGGAGACUGCAAGGCUAGAAUCUGGCAGAGGGGGGUGGAAUUCCACGUGUAGCAGUGAAAUGCGUAGAGAUGUGGAGGAACACCGAUGGCGAAGGCAGCCCCCUGGGUCAAGAUUGACGCUCAUGCACGAAAGCGUGGGGAGCAAACAGG
rnacentral:rRNA from 1 species